rnacentral:lncRNA from 1 species
GGCUCCAGGGAGUUCCACGCUGUCCAGUUCUCUCUGCCGUGAUAAACCUCUGCGGCCCGUCAUCCUGAGUCCCACCAUGGAGGAGGGCCAUGGGCUGGACCUCACUUACAUCACGGAGCGCAUCAUCGCUGUGUCCUUCCCUGCCGGCUGCUCCGAGGAGUCCUACCUGCACAACCUGCAGGAGGUCACGCGCAUGCUCAAGUCCAAGCACGGGGACAACUACCUGGUAUUAAACCUUUCAGAAAAGAGAUAUGACCUU